UCUUCACUCUUUUUAUAGCUUAACUAGUGGAGUUACCCGUGCAUUGCGACGGGCUAAUAUUAUAGAAGAUAAAAAAUUGACAAAAUUAAAAUUUUAAAAUUUUUUAACUUAGAUAUAUACAAAUGUGGCAAAAGUUAUAACAACAAAUAAAUUAUAUAUAACAAUAAUAAAAGUUACAACAGUAAAUAGAUAUAUAUAUUUUUUUAACGAUUUGUUUAGAUAAAAAUAAAUCAUAUAAAUAUAUUAAUUAGAAAGUGGGCGGAUGGGAAGACGAAACAUUAAAUAGAGAUGAGAUGGGAAGGCGAAGCAUCAAAGAGUGUGGAGAGGGGGUGAAGGAGGAAUUGCCAUGUGGCAAUUUCCAUGAGAAAUAAUGUAUAGGAAUAGAUUACUUAAUUGAUGUAUUUAUUUAUUUUCUUGUGUUUUUAUUUUUAUUCUUGUUAUAUUUUAAUUUACGAUUAAUUUCAUACAAAUCUCUAUAAAUAUAGUAAAAUAUAAAUAUAUUUCUAUAAAAUUUAAUUUUUAUAUAUUAUUUUUAUAAAAAUCAUGUUUCUAUCGUUACAAUCCGUUAGAAAAUUUUAGUUAUCUAUGAGUUAAAUACUGAAUUCUUAUUAGUUUAUAAAAUAACUUGAUAUAUUUGUCUCUCUUAUAUUAUACUCUUUGAGUUUCGGAGAGACAUAUUUAUAAUGACAAAAUUAAUAUUUCAUGUAAAAUAUAAGCAGUUCAAUAACAGUAAUAAAUCAGAAGAAUAUAUUUAAAAAUAUUCAUAAUUUUUAUAAAGAUAAUAUAUAAAAGUUGAAGUUUAUAGUAAUAUAUUUGUAAUUUACUGUGUGUUUACUGAGACAUGUAUGUAUUUAACCCUUCAAUUUAUGUAAGAUUAGUGCAUGUUCUCUGGUUGUACGGAGGGGGCAAGAGUCCACUGGAGUUGUUAGAAGCAUGUUGCAGCACAACUUGGAGAGACAAAAAAAAUACAAAUAUAAGACACAAAUAGGAGCCUAAUAAACAAUUUUGGCACUAUCAUGUGAAUUAAUUUAACUCAACCCGAAUAUAUCGGCUUGACCGCAUGGGACCCAACAAAGACACUAAUUAAAAAAAAUUCUUAAUAAAUUAUCUAUAGAAUGAUUGUUUUAGUUAUUUUUUUCUAAAUUAAAAAAAAUGAUAAAGCAGCUGGUGCAAGCGAUCUUUUGAUUAAAAUAUAUGAGCAUAAGGUUGGUCUAACUAUAUUUCUUUGAAAAUUCAAGUACAAUAUAUAGUUCAAAUCAAAAUUUACAAGCUACAUGAGCUGUAUAUAAAAAAUAAUCAUUUUUUUAAUGAGCCUAAAAAUUGUUUUUUGUUUCUACCUCUAUGAUUUCGAUCUUUUAUGGUAAAAAAGCUUCUUUUUAUAUGAAUAUGCAUAAUUAAAAUAUAAAAAAUGCUGAGCCUACAAUCAAAAAAAGUUGUAAUAUUUACAAUCACUAAUUUAAUAGUUUUAAAAGUUUAACCAAUCUUUUUUUUUAUUUUUAGUCAAAAAAUAAUAAUAAAACUAGUAUAGUAUAAUAAAAUUAUAAAAUUAUAAUGUAAAUUGGAUCGUAAAUCUAACAUUAUUAUUAAAAUACAUACGAGUAACCAAGUCAUUUUAUCGAAAAAGUUUUAUGUAGUGUACAAAAAGUCGGUUGAGUACCUGCAUUGAUUAUGAACCCAAAAACCAAGUACAUGAAGCACUGCAUUAAUGCCUCUCUCUCUCUCUCUCUCUCUCUCUCAUCUCGUCUCAUAUAAUAUAUUAUAUAUAUAUAUUAUAUAUAUAUAAGUGAGGCUUACAUGCUAUCGAAGCACGGAGCCUCCGUGCUUCCAAGCUCGUUUUCGAUGUUGCGACUUUCGAUCGUCGAUCGGACUCGUUAACUUGAUCUAUAGUAUUUGGAGUACCUAGAAAAUAAAUUUUAUUAUUUUCGAUAUCAUUUGCUAGUGAUCGAAUGGGCUCAAAUCAACCAAUUUAUAUAUAUAUAUAUAGAGUGAGGCUACUAAUGCUAUCGGAAGCACGGAGUUUUCCGUGUCCAACUCGUUUUCGGAGUGUUGCGACUUUCGAAUCGUCGAUCGGCUCCGUUAAACUUGAUCUAUAGUAUUUGGAGUACCUAGAAAAUAAAUUUUAUUAUUUUUCGAUAUCAUUUCCCUAGUGAUCGAAUGGGCUCCAAAUCAACGAUUGACUCUGUUAGACUUGAUCUAUAUUAUUGAAAGUAUUUGAAAAUCAAAUUUUAUAAUUUUUCGUCAUCAUUUACCUAUCAAACGAGUGCUCUAAAAAUAAAUGGUGGAAAAUAAAAAUCUCAUAAAAAAUAUUGAUAAAAAAUUUAAAUUUAAAAUCAGAGGUACUAAUCUUAUUCUAAAUAAUAAAAAAAAAUUUGAUAAAAAGUUUAUUAAAUUUGGAUUGUUUUACACCGUUAAUUCACAAACGUAUCACAUCGGCCAUUAAAAUUGUCAUUUUUGAGACCUUUUGAUCACUAGUCAAAUAAUAUCGAAAAAUUAUAAAAUUUAGUUUUCAAAUAUUUUCAAUAGUAUAGAUUAAGUUUAACGGAGCCGAUUAUUGAUUUGAAAGUCGUAUCAUAAAAAACAACUUGAUAGCACGGAGGCCUCGUGCUACCGAUAGUAUACCAGCCUUGUUCUAUAUAUAGAGAGAGAGAGUGAGUAGGUCUACUAUGAUCUUAUGAGUAUAGUCAUUCGUACUCAUAAAUUAUUUUCGAUGAUGAAACUUUCAAAUCAAUUAUCAAUUCCGUUAAAUAUGAUCUAAAAUAUUUAAAACCUUUAAAAAAUAAAUUUCGUAAUUUUUCGAAAUCAUAAUAAAAAUCUAUCAAACGAGCAUAAAAUGAACGAUAAAAAACGAACAAUGUUCUAAAAAUGAAUGAUUAGAUAUUUCAAUUUCAAAUCGAAAUUAUUAAUCUUUAUCUAAGUAGUGAAUAGGAUUUUCUAUAAAAAAUUCAACUCAUUCUAAUUCUUUUGCACCGUUAAACUAGCAAAUAUUUUAUACCGGCCGUUAAAAAUUGUCAAUUGUGUAACAUUUUGAUUGUAAGGUAAAUGGUAUCGAAAAAUUAUGAAAUUUGAUUUUUAUAAGUUUUAAAUGGUCUAAAUAAUGUUUAACGGUAUGAAUCGUCGAUUCACAAGCUCUAUCAUUAAAAAUGACUUAUGAGUACGAGAGCAAUCGUACUUAUAAGAGUAUAAUAGCAGGACUCUUUCUCUCUAUAUUCUCUCUCUCUAUAUAGAGAGAAAGAGUCCGGCUACUAUACUAUCAAUAAUAUUGAAUUCUUGAUACUAUCAAAUUUUCUGCCGGUAGAUCUACCAUUUAAUCAUUUUUAUCUGCUAGAUUAUACUAUUCAACUAACCACCCACUCAAUUCUAGAAAAUCACUAUCAUUCUAACCACACAUCCUUUCAUUCAACGGUCGAAAAUUCGAUAACCCAAAGCGUUUGGUACUAUCAAUAGUGUAGUAGCAUAAUUCAUAUAUAUAUAUAUAUANAAAUAUUUACCAUCUUACAUUAUAUAUAUAUAUAUAUAUAUAUAUAUAUAUAUAUAUAUAAAAUUAGGUUGGAAUACUAUCAAUAACAUCAAGUUAUUGGUGCUAUUAGUUUUUAACCCUUGAAUUGAGAAAUGUGCGGUUAUGAUGAUGUGGGCCCAUUAGAUUGAGCGGGUAGUUAGUUGAAUAGUAUAAUCUAAUGGGUAAAAAAAAAAAAUAGUGGAUUAAAUCUAAUUAAUAGUGAAAAAUUUGAUAGCAUCAAACUCGUAGUGCUAUCGAUAGUAUCUCAGCCGGACUCUCUCUCUCUCUCUCCGACGCCCCUCGGACAGACCCCCCCUCUCACUACUCCCAAGAAGCACCCGUCCUCCCCUCUCCUCUCUCUCUCUCUAAUAUAUAUAUAUAUAAUAUAUAUAUAUAUAUAUAUAGCAGGGCUGCUGUGCUCUCAGGAGCACGGAGGCUCCGUGCUCCUGAGCCGUUUUCGAUGCUGGAAUUUCGAAUCGACGAUCGGCUCUGUUAGACUAAUUGAUCUAGCGCAUUUGAAGUUUCUAGAAAAUAAUUUUUGCGAUUUUUUGAUAUCAUUUACCUAGUGAUCGAAAGGAUACAAAAUUCAUAAUUUAAUGUAAUAAUCCACUAUCAAGUUUAACGGUGUAGAAGUAUUCAAAUCAGAUAAAAUUUUAAUACAAAAUUCUUUAUACUAUCUAUAACAAGAUCAAUAUUUCUGAUCGAAAAUUUUAGUGCUAUAUCACCACUUUUUAUAGGAUUUUUAUUUUUAGUCGUUAAAAAUUCUUGAUUUUGAAUCAUAUAUAUAUAUAUAUAUAUAUAUAGAGAGAGAGAGAGAGAGAGAGAGAGAGAGAGAGAUAGAGUGAGGCUACUAUGCUUCUGGAAGCACGGAGCCUUCCGUGCUUUCAGGUCGUUUUCGAUGUUGUGACUUUCGAAUCAUCGAUCGGCUCCGUUAAAAUUAAUCUAGAGUAUUUGAAGUAUCUAAAAAAUAAAUUUUGCAAUUUUUCGAUAUUAUUUACCUAGUGAACUAUGGGGCUCAAAAUCAACGGCUGAAAAUAAAAAUCUUACAAAACGUGAUAAUAUGAUAUUAAAAUUUUAGAUCAAAGAUAUUGAUUUUGUUUUAUGUAGUAUAAAGAAUUUUCUAUCAAAAUUUCACGUGAUUGGGAUAUUUCUACACCGUUAAACUUGCAAACGGCUCACCACGGCCAUUAAAAUUAUUGAUUUUGAGUACCUUCGAUCACUAGGCAAAUGAUAUCGAAAAAUCAUAAAAUUUAUUUUCUAAGUACUUCAAAUACUUUAGAUCAAGUUUAACGGAGCCGAUCGACGAUUUGAAAGUCACAACAUUGAAAAUGAUCUGGAAGCACGGAAGGCACUAUACUUCCACAAGCAUAGUAGCUUUACUCUCUCUCUCUCUCUCUCUUUAUAUAUAUAUAUAUAUAUAUAUAUAUAUAUAUCUCGGAUCUGACUUGGAUCCUCACACUCAGCGGCACAUAGCAACAUGAUAUAAAACACUAUCAAAAAAGGAUAAAUAAUGUUUUGAGAUAUAAAAAGUUAUAGAACUCUCAAUUUAAACUUUGAUAGAUUCUACGUAGGUAACAGUAUCCCCAACAACGGAGCUAAAGUACUAGUACUAGCUAAUUAAUCCUAAAUGACCUUCCCCGACAAUGAGAGGACUAGGUACGUACAGCUAGCAUAGAACCACACGUCAACACCUAGCUAGCUAGCUAGAACAAUAUUGUUUUUUUUUUUGAAAAAAAAAAUUAUUGUAGGAAUGGAGUAUACUGAUGGUGCUCUUCGGUGUAAACGUGUAUGCAUGAUACAUGAUGCGCAUACAGUGAUCACUGAUAAAAGUGGAGAAUCGAUCGGUUCUAGCACAAAUAAUAAUAAAUUUGUUAAUUAAAUUUAAAAUUUAAUUAUUUCAUAUUUAUAUCUAUGUUAAACAAAAUGAAUAAUAUAUAUAUAUAUAUUAACAAAGUAAAAAAAAAAUAUAUUUUUUCUUUAAAAUAAGAACAGAAUAGAAGAGAGAGAGAGAGAGAGGGCAUCUGUGUUCAUGUACAUGCAUGUAACAUGGUCUCGUGUGGUCACCAUCGUUGCCGGAUACACAGGAGAGAGAGAGAGAGAGAGACAGAGAGAGACAGAGAGAUAGAAAGAUAGAUCCCAUGCGUCACACCACUCACUACCACCUGAGAAAAAAGCCAAAUGCUUUUCCUCACGAGGAAAUGUACUCGAAAUGUUCUUUAGAGCUAGAAAAAUGCUAUUUGUAUUCUCGGUAUUGAGUGCACAUUUUACAUAUUUAAAAUUAAAAAAAUUAAAAGUGUAGUAAAAAUAUUCUAAUCAUAAAAAAUUGAGAUUAUAUAUAUAUAUAUAUAUAUAUAUAUAUAUAUAUAUAUAUAGCAGAAUUACUAUGCUCUCAGGAGCACGAAAGUCUCCGUGCUCCCGAGUCAUUUUCGAUGAUGGAAUUUUCGAAUCGACGAUCGGAUCUGUUAAACUUGAUCUAGCGUAUUUGAAGUUUCUAGAAAAUAUUUUUUGCGAUUUUUCGAUAUCAUUUACCUAGUGAUCGAAAGGAUUCAAAAUCAAUAAUUUUUAAUGAUUGAUAUCUACCGUUUUCAAGUUUAACGGUAUAGAAAUAUUCAAAUCAGGUAAAAUUUUGAUACAAAAUUUUUUAUACUAUCUAAAACAAGAUCAAUAUUUUUGAUCGAUAUCUGAGUCCUUUUUGGAAACUCGUAAGCCUCCGUGCUCCUGAGCCGAAGGCUUCCAUGCUCCUGAGCACAGUAAGUCCUGCUCUAUAUAUGCUCUCAGGAGCACGGAGGCUUUCGUGCUCCGGAGACGUUUUGAUGAUGGAAUUUUCGAAUCGACGAUCGGCUCCGCUAUGCUUGAUCUAGCGUAUUUGAAGCUUCUAGAAAAUGAUUUUUAUGAUUUUUCGAUAUCAUUUAACUAGCAAUCGAAAGGAUUUAAAAUCAAUAAUUUUUAACGGCUGAAAAUAAAAAUCCUAUAAAAAGUGGUGAUAUAGCACUAAAAUUUUCGAUUAAAAAUAUUGAUCUUGUUGUAGAUAGUAUAACAAAUUUUGUAUCAAAAUUUUAUAUGAUUUGAAUACUUCUACACCGUUAAACUUGAAAACGGCAGAUAUCAAUACUUAAAAAUUAUUGAUUUUGAAUUUUUUCGAUCACUAGGUAAAUGAUAUCAAAAAAUCGCAAAAAUUAUUUUCUAGAAACUUCAAAUACCCUAGAUCAAGUCUCAAGGAACCGAUCAUCGAUUCGAAAGUUUCAUCAUCGAAAACGGCUCAGGAGCACGGNCCACACCCCCCCCUCUCUCUCUCUCUCUCUCUCUCUCUCUCUCUCUCUCUCUCUCUCUCUAUAUAUAUAUAUAUAUAUAUAUAUAUAUAUAUAGUGUAGAUGUAUAAAUAGUAUUGCGGUAAAAAUAAUAUGCUAUUUGUAUACUCGGUCUACCAUAGUAAAAUUUAAAGGCCUAUUUAUCUUAGGAUUAUUAUUUUUGUCUUUGUUCUAUCAAUUUGGUUUUAGAUUUUAUAAAUUUUAUGAUGAAAAAAAAUAUAAAGAUUUAUAUUUAUAUGUAAGUAUGCAAGUCUGUUUUCAACGAGAAAUCACAUAGAUGUGAUAUUUUAGAUUGUAUAUAUAAAAAAAUAAAAAAAUAUUUAUAUUACAUAUUGUAACAUACCACAAGUAUUUUAUAAGAUAAUUAUAUACCAACAUUUUUAGGGACUUGCUGCUGUGUUUUUCUUUUUCUCCUAAUAUGUAAGAAGAAUAUAUGCUGUCAACAUAUUUCUUUUCUUUUUCUGCACGAGGCAUUUGUGAAUUCUUGUAUACUAAAUUCUCAAAGCAGUGUGGUUAGCAAGUUCUCCGAAGAGAAAUGCUUGUUUUAAAUUCUAUAAAAUAUUAUUUUAUAGAUUAUAGUAUAUUAAUUAACUUAUAUACCACUUUUAAGAAAUAGCACGAAUAAAUUAAAAAAACUUUUAUGUUAUGAGUUAUAAUAUAUCAAUAACAUGAAGAAUAACAUGAGUUGAGCUUCUGUACUUUUAAAAACACGCAUAAGAGCAUUUUCGGUAGGCAUUAUUAGCGGUGUGCUCCGUCAAAUUUUUUAUUAGUAUUGUACAAAUAUUGAGAUGAUUCGAUAAAUUAAAAUAUCACAAACAUGUUGAGCUCCCAUACUUUUAACAGUAUAGUAGCUACGAAAUAGUUUUUUUUAAGAAAAAACUGCAUACUACCAGCUUCAUUCAUUAGCAGUAUGAAUUAUACUAUACAGGUAAGAUAAUAUAUCUCAAUGGAAAUAAAAAAAUAAAAUAAAAUUAGAAUUAAAAUUAAAAUUAAAAAUAAUAGCAAAACAAAAAAAAAGUGAUGGCGAUAGAGCUACUUUGCCACGAAAUAGUAUUUUUUAAAUAAUAUUUGAUUGAUUGGCGGCACUUCUAAUUUAUAAUACCUUUAAAAAAAUGAUAGUUACAUUCUCAUUUUCUCCCUCUUUUUACUGCUAGAGAGCAUUUGGAUCGACAAAUGUGUGGUUAGAACGUUUUAUUGAAAAUGAAAAUACCAGUUUUGUCAAUCUUUGCGUAGACAUUUUAAAAAAAAUAAAAUCUUAUAACCAAUCAUAAAAUUGAAUUCUCAAAAUUAUUUUUAUAAAUAAUUUAAAUUUAAAAUUAUUUUGUAUAAAAAGGUUAAAACUUAGUUUAUAACCGAAUAACAAUUUUUUUAUAUUAUAUCAAUUAAUAAUAAAAAGACUAAUUUGCAUAACAAAUUCAUAAGUAUUGAGCUUUUGUAAAACCGGGCCACCAUUUUUAAUUUUGCAGAUUCGGUCCGAAUUUUCAACAAAUUAACCAUAAUACUCUUAUCCCUAUUUUUUUUCCUUUUCGAUCCUUCUCCACCCGCUGUCUCCAUUGCCGCCGCUGGCGACAAAGAAGAAAUACUUCUCGGGGCCCAGAAGCACACCGGCGAGGAAAGAGGAGAAAAGUAGUUACACUCCGGCGAGAACUAUGGUUGCGAUAAAGAGUAAGAGAGAGGUCGUGACAAAAAAAAUAUAUAAAGAGAAAGAAAAUAAGAAUAAUAAAAAAUAAAAAAAAAUUUCUACAAAAAAAACCAAAAAUUAUAGAAAAAUGAAGAAAUUGCACUGUUAAAAUAAAGUUAUAUUGUUUAAAAAAAAAUUUGCACUCUUUGAAAUAAAAAUUAUAUUUUUUAGGAUGAGAGUUACACUCUUUAGUCGAAAAUUAUACUAGUUGGGUGAAAUUUACACUAUUUCUUAUCCUCAUCUUCUUCUUCUUACUUCUUCCCCUCCGUUUUCUCGUCCUCCUCCUCCUUCUUCCUCCUCUACCUUCUUUGGCGUCGUCGCCGUCAAGCACCCAUCGCAUCGCCGCCCCCUUCUUUGCUGGCGCCCAUGCCCGACAAGGUCGAGAGCGAGAUAAGCAUCCUCUUCUCCCUCUGCGGGCCCCAUCUCGUCAACCUCCUCUGCUUCUGCCGCGAGCCUUGCGAGGCAGCGCCGCGCGGUGAGGUCUGCGUCGGUGUCGGCGGUGUCAAUGGUGUUCUUCGGCGGGAAACUUCUGGGAGGGGUGGAGAAUGUGCCGUCAUGCCACCUCAACGGCUCUCUCGUCCCCCUCCUCAAAUAAGCAGGGGCUCCCGCGUGUGCGUUGGCGGAAAAGGGGGGCGACUACGCGAGGGGCGCUUGACAAUAACGGUGACAGAGAAGGUGGAGGAGGAAGAAGAAGGAGUAGGAUGAGAAAGCGAAGGGGAAGGUGGAGGAGGAAGAAGAAGAGAAUGAGAAAUUGUGUAAAUUCAUCCAAAUAGUAUAAUUUUUGUCUAAAAAGUGUAACUUAUAUUCCAAAUAGUAUAAUUUUUAUCUUAAAGAGUGCAACUUUUAUCUCAAAUAUUACAAUUUUUUUUUUCUUUAUUUUAACAGUGCAAUUUCAUCAUUCUCUUACUUCUUCUAUAAUUUUUGAUUUUUUUGUAAGAAAUUUAUUUAUUAUUUAUUAUUUAUUAUUUUUUUAUUUUUUUCUCUAUAAUUUUUUUCUUCACGACCUCUCCCUUGCCAUUUAUUGUAGUCACCGCCAUCACCGGAGUGUAACUAUUUUUCUCUCCCUCCCUCGCUGUCGUGCUUUUCAGCCUUGAAAAGCACUUUCUUUUUGUUGCCAGCGGCGACGGCAGGGACGACGGGUGGAAGACGGUUGGAGAGGAAAAAAAAAAAGGUCGCGGCAUGAUCUCGGCGGGGUCGGAGGUGAGGAGGGUGGAGGGUGCGGAGGCGAGUGCGAGAGCGUUAGGGGCAGAGAUGAGGGGGUCCGUUUCCGCCUCCGACUCCGUAGGCUUCUUCGGCGAGAAAAAAUAAGAACGCGAGAAAAAAAAGAAGAGAAGAAAAAAUAUAAAUAUAUUUUCGUUAGUUUACUGAAAAUUUGGACUGACUCUGUAAAAAAAUAAAAAAAAGGCCUAAGUUUGCAAAAAGUUAAAAACUUAUAGAUUUUUUUAUACAAAUUGACGUAAUAAAAAUAAUAUUUUUUAUUAAAUUUAAUUUAUUACUCAAUUAUAAUUACGCGAAUCCAAACGUACACUUCAAUGUGCCACAGCCAUAUCCCUACAAGUCAUAGGUUUAGAGCUACACUACCCCUAUACCAUUCAAACGUUGACCGCUUUGCUGAUCACUCCACAACCUCAUAGAUGCAGAUGCAUCGAGAGAGAGCAAGAGUACUUUUAGUAAAGUUAAAAACAGUUGGAGCAGAUCAAAGAGAAAUGAAUAAAACGAAAUAAAAAAAAUCACUAUUACUUUAGUAAUAUUAAAAAAUAAUAAAACUAGUAUAUAUAUAUAUAUAUAUAUAUAUAUAUAUAUAUAUAUAUAUAUAUAUAUAUAUAUAUAUUAUUUUCAAUGAUAAAGAUUUCGAAUUUACGUUUCAUAUUAUUAAAUAUUAUCUAAAAUAUUUAAAAUUUUAAGAAAUCAAAUUUAACAAAUUUUCGACAUCAUUUAUUUAUGAUCGAAAGGUUACAAAAUUGAUAAUUUUUAACGGUAGAUAUAGAAUACUUGCUAGUUUAACAAUAUAAAAGAAUUAGAAUAGAUUAAAGUUUUGAUAAAAAAAUUUAUUUACUAUAUAAAUAUAGAUCAAUAAUUCUGAUCUUAAAUUGAAGGAUCCGAUUAUCUAUCUUUAGGACGCCGUUCGAUUUUGAUUGUUCAUUUUAUGUCCAAUUGAUAGACUUUAUUAUGAUUUUGUAAAAUUACAAAAUUUAUUUUUUAGAAGUUUCAAAUAUUUUAGGUCAUAUAUAACGAGUUGGAUCGACGAUACAGAAGCUCUAUUAUAAAAAAUAACUUAUGAAUACAAAUGACUCUAUAUUCGUAAAAGUACGACAAUCAUACUCUUUAUCUCUAUAUUAGUUUUUUGACCAAUAAUAAAAUAUAAAACACUUACUUUUUGUGUAUACAGUUGCUUUAGAGAGAGAGAGAGAGAGAGAGAGAGAGAGAGAGAGAGAGAGAGAGAGAGAGAGAGAGAGAG
rnacentral:lncRNA from 1 species